GCAAUGGCCGUUGCUUACCAUGCAGCCGAACGGUAACAGGCCUUCGGGCGCUGACGAGUGGCGGACGGGUGAGUAACGCGUAGGAAUCUGCCUCAUAGUGGGGGACAACGUGGGGAAACUCACGCUAAUACCGCAUACGCCCUACGGGGGAAAGCGGGGGAUCUUCGGACCUCGCGCUAUGAGAUGAGCCUGCGUUAGAUUAGCUAGUUGGUAGGGUAAAGGCAUACCAAGGCGACGAUCUAUAGCUGGUCUGAGAGGACGAUCAGCCACACUGGGAUUGAGACACGGCCCAGACUCCUACGGGAGGCAGCAGUGGGGAAUAUUGGACAAUGGGCGCAAGCCUGAUCCAGCAAUACCGCGUGUGUGAAGAAGGCCUUCGGGUUGUAAAGCACUUUCAAUUGGGAGGAAAACCUGCCGGUCAAUACCCGGUAGCUUGACAUUACCUUUAGAAGAAGCACCGGCUAACUCCGUGCCAGCAGCCGCGGUAAUACGGAGGGUGCAAGCGUUAAUCGGAAUUACUGGGCGUAAAGCGUGCGUAGGCGGUUCGUUAAGUCAGAUGUGAAAGCCCCGGGCUCAACCUGGGAACUGCAUUUGAAACUGGCGGACUAGAGUUGAGUAGAGGGGAGUGGAAUUUCAGGUGUAGCGGUGAAAUGCGUAGAUAUCUGAAGGAACACCAGUGGCGAAGGCGACUCCCUGGACUCAAACUGACGCUGAGGUACGAAAGCGUGGGUAGCAAACAGGAUUAGAUACCCUGGUAGUCCACGCCGUAAACGAUGUCAACUAGCCGUUGGUCCUAUUUACAGGAUUAGUGGCGCAGCUAACGCAUUAAGUUGACCGCCUGGGGAGUACGGCCGCAAGGUUAAAACUCAAAGGAAUUGACGG
rnacentral:rRNA from 1 species